rnacentral:rRNA from 1 species
CACGUAGGGCGCGAGCGUUGUCCGGAAUUAUUGGGCGUAAAGAGCUCGUAGGCGGCCUGUUGCGUCCGCUGUGAAAGCCCGGGGCUUAACCCCGGGUCUGCAGUGGAUACGGGCAGGCUAGAGGUAGGUAGGGGAGAAUGGAAUUCCCGGUGUAGUGGUGGAAUGCGUAGAUAUCGGGAGGAACACCAGUGGCGAAGGCGGUUGCCUGGGGCUUUGCUGACGCUGAUGCGCGAAAGCGUGGGGAGCGAUCCGG